rnacentral:rRNA from 1 species
GACGAACGCUGGCGGCGUGCUUAACACAUGCAAGUCGAACGGAAAGGCCCUGCUUUUGUGGGGUGCUCGAGUGGCGAACGGGUGAGUAACACGUGAGUAACCUGCCCUUGACUUUGGGAUAACUUCAGGAAACUGGGGCUAAUACCGGAUAGGAGCUCCUGCUGCAUGGUGGGGGUUGGAAAGUUUCGGCGGUUGGGGAUGGACGAGCGGCUAAUCAGCUUGUUGGUGGGGUAGUGGUUUACCAAGUGUUUGACGGGUAGCCCGCCUGAGAGGGGGACCGGCGUCAUGGGUCCUGAGGGAGGGAGCAGUGGCCAAUGGUAGACAAUGGGCGGAAGCAUGACCCAGUGAGCCGACGUCUGAGACGAAGGCGUUGGGUUCGUGAAGACGGCCUUCGGGUUAAGAACCGCAGCCGCCUGUGACGAAGCUGGAGUGACGGUAAUGAGUGAAGAAGCACCGGCUAACUACGUG